GCUAUUUUGGCAGAUUAGUGCAAUAAAUUUAGAAUUUAUUUAUGUAAUUUUAAUUACAAAUAGUA
rnacentral:tRNA from 4 species